rnacentral:sRNA from 1 species
AUGGCUGAAAAGCCACACCAGAAUUCCCGCAAUUCAGUGAAGCAGCUGGUGACGCACAGGGACAGAGGGGAGGGCUGCGGGGGAGGGGGCGGGAAAGGCCCUCACAGCAGGGCCCAGAGGAAGACUGACCCCAGGCUGAGCAGGAGCUGCACGCACAGGGCCCAGGGGCUGCCGGCUGCCAGGACCGCCGCAUUGCAGAGGUCUCCCUUGCAGCAGAUCUGCGAGUCCACGAUGGCACUUAGCCUGCCCUCUGCCCUGGCACCCCAGGGACUCACUGCCAAAGAUGCUCACUUUCUGGGAGACACAGACCCCAUCUAGGAAGGGGCAUGAGACCAUGCUGCAGGAGGCCCCUUCUGAGACCGCCAAGCAUCCGUAGCAGUGCAGACCCUCAGCUGGGAGAAAGGGCAAGGAUUCUCUCGGCACCGUGGGAACCACCUCCUCUACUCUCACUGA